UACGGAGGGGGCUAGCGUUGUUCGGAAUCACUGGGCGUAAAGCGCACGUAGGCGGAUCUUUAAGUCAGGGGUGAAAUCCCAAGGCUCAACCUUGGAACUGCCUUUGAUACUGGGGAUCUCGAGUCCGGAAGAGGUUGGUGGAACUGCGAGUGUAGAGGUGAAAUUCGUAGAUAUUCGCAAGAACACCAGUGGCGAAGGCGGCUCACUGGUCCGGUACUGACGCUGAGGUGCGAAAGCGUGGGGAGCAAACAGGG
rnacentral:rRNA from 1 species